rnacentral:snRNA from 1 species
UUGGAAUCCAAGAGAACCGGAUU